rnacentral:rRNA from 1 species
GUGCAGCCGCCGCGGUAAUACGGAGGGUGCAAGCGUUAUCCGGAUUCAUUGGGUUUAAAGGGUGCGCAGGCGGAUACUUAAGUCAGUGGUGAAAUCCCGGGGCUCAACCCCGGAACUGCCAUUGAUACUGAAUAUCUGGAAUACGGUUGAAGUGGGCGGAAUGUAGCAUGUAGCGGUGAAAUGCAUAGAGAUGCUACAGAACACCGAUCGCGAAGGCAGCUCACUAAGCCGAUAUUGACGCUCAGGCACGAAAGCGUGGGGAGCGAACAGGAUUAGAUACCCUGGUAGUCCACGCCGUAAACGAUGAUAACUCGUUGUUGGCGACACACAGUCAGCGACUAAGCGAAAGCGAUAAGCUAUCCACCUGGGGAGUACGAUCGCAAGGUUGAAACUUGAAGGAAUUGACGG